AAAAAGUUGUAAGCCGCAACAAAUGCUUGUGUGCUUGUUUUUUUUUUAAUUCAUUCAAGUAUGUCCAUGAGAUCCAUAUGUGUAUGUAGGGGCAUAUUUGUAUCAAGGGUCUUGUAUAUGUGUGUAAAUGCAGGGCCAUAUAGGUUUGUGUGAACACUUGUUUAAAUGUGUGGUGGGUCAGCGUGCAUGAACACGGAAAUAUGUGUAUGAAUGCAGGGUCUUGUCUUUGUGCAGAAAUGAAGGGGUGUAGAUGUGGGAGAAUGAAUGUGCUUGAAUGCAGGGGAGUAGAUGUGUCUGAAUGCAUGGAUGUUUUGUAUGGAGUGGCUCUGUCUGUGUGAAUGCAAGGGUGUACCUGUACCCCACAUUGUCUGUAGCCCAUUCAAAACUCCAAUAGCUAGUAGUUCAUUCUCCA